UACGGAGGGGGCUAGCGAUGUUCGGAAUUACUGGGCGUAAAGCGCGCGUAGGCGGAAAGAUAAGUUGGGGGUGAAAUCACGGGGCUCAACUCCGGAACUGCCUUCGAGACUGCAUGUCUCGAGGACGCGAGAGGUUGGUGGAAUACCGAGUGUAGAGGUGAAAUUCGUAGAUAUUCGCCAGAACACCAGUGGCGAAGGCGGCUAACUGGACCGUUUCUGACGCUGAGGUGCGAAAGCGUGGGGAGCAAACAGG
rnacentral:rRNA from 1 species